rnacentral:rRNA from 1 species
AUUGAACGCUGGCGGCAUGCCUUACACAUGCAAGUCGAACGGUAACAGGUCUUCGGAUGCUGACGAGUGGCGCACGGGUGAGUAAUACAUCGGAACGUGCCCAGACGUGGGGGAUAACGAGGCGAAAGCUUUGCUAAUACCGCAUACGAUCUAAGGAUGAAAGCAGGGGACCGCAAGGCCUUGUGCGUUUGGAGCGGCCGAUGGCAGAUUAGGUAGUUGGUGGGAUAAAAGCUUACCAAGCCGACGAUCUGUAGCUGGUCUGAGAGGACGACCAGCCACACGGGGACUGAGACGCGCCCCAGCCGCCGAGGGGAGGCAGAAGUGGGAAAUUUUGGACAAGGGGCAAAAGCCUGAUCCAGAAAUGCCGCGGGCAGGAGGAGGGCCUUGGGUUUGUAAACUGCUUUUGAACGGAAAGAAAAGGCUCUGGCUAAUACCGGGGGCACAUGACGGUACCGAAAAAAUAAGCCCCGGCAAACUACGUG